UUCUCUUCGGAGACAUCCGAUAAAAUUGGAACGAUACAGAGCAUGGCCCCUGCGCAAAGAUGACACCACACAAAUCGAGAAAUGGUCCAAUUCUUU
rnacentral:snRNA from 1 species